rnacentral:lncRNA from 1 species
CAUUGUUUGAGGCGUUUGCUCAGCUGUCUGUUGAAUCCCCUGAAACUAAUGCUCAGUCUAUAUUAAUGUCUCAGUCCCGGGAAACCUCAGCCUAUUCUCUCCUAUAAUUAAUCUUGCAGGUACUGCCUUGACAUUAUUGGUUCACCAACAGAGCAGAACUGCCUCGGCCAUCAAUAAUAAUUCAACGCAUUAGGGUGAGGCCUAUGUACGGGCCACAGAGGGAGCCAGAUCUGAACGAUCUCCUGCAUUCCUAUCCAGUGGAUGGGAAACUCUGCAAUUGAAACUAGUUGUUUUGGUGGCUCGAUAAUUUGUAAUAGAGGGGUCUUGGUGUUACUAAUUGUUUUGCUUUAUGCUUUUCUCCAAAUGUAGCCACUGCUUGGCACAAUGGGAGUGAUUGUCUGUUUACUGAAUCUUAAUAUUGAGGCUGUUACAAAUUGUCUUUCACAGAUGGUGGGAGCUUUUCAGAUCGAGAGAGGCAGGGAAUUUAUUACUCAAUAUUUCUGUAUUACUGAUUGGGACGUGAGGAGCAUAGACAAUCUGUCCUACUGCAGGGUUUGCCGCAUGGUUUUUUUUCCCUCUGCAAAAUUAUGGCUGGCUCUAGACGUUUUUCUCAUUUUGUAUAGAUAGCAGCUGUGUAAUUUCAAGCAGAAUGUUUGCUUUGAUCCCCCUUCCUUUAAUUGAAAUCCACAAUUAUGAGAUUUGUUUCUUUUAUGUUUGUGAGUUUAUUGGUUUAAUCUACAAAAUGUGCUGUCUUGCUGUCUUACACAGUUAAAGGCUACAGCACAGUUGGGACUUAAAUGACAAACACUGGAAGGAGGGGCUUUCUUUUUUUCUUUAUUGGUUGGCCGUGGAAAGAAACCAAUAGAUACCUCUCCCCUCAGAUAGCAGGCUACAUGACAACCGCAUAAACUGUCAUUCUGGAGAAUUUGAAGCUACAUGUCUUGUGUGUGGGUGUGUGCGUAUACGUAUACAUGCAUAUGAAUGAUUAAGCUCAUUUCUAAAAAUGUGUGUGUGUGUGUGUGUGUGUGUGUGUGUGUGUUUAGAACAGAAGGGUAGCCAACUGACACAGGAUCAUCCUUUUGAUUAGAGUAACUAGUACCAUUUACAAAAAGUCAGCCUUAGCACAUUUUAGGGGAAAGAGAGCAAAGGAUUAUAAAGUAGAUAGAUAGAUAAACAAGACUGCAUGGCCUCCAAGAGCAUUUCACAACAAAUACCUUCACUGAUUACAUGUCAAUAUGCUCUACCCCUGGAUAGGACAGGUUUCCUAAACGGAAAAUUUCCAGACACUUGGAGUUAUUUUUGAUCAAAAUAAAUGAAAAAAAAAUUCAGGUGGAGAAUUAAAACAUUCUGUUGCCAAGUUUACAUCCUUCCAUUCAUAAUCUGUCAUACACCCAUAACUACGUUUUUUUUUUUAAACAAUUCUUGUUAAUAUUUUGUAUGUUUGGUAGGUACCUUUUUUUUCUGGUGCAGUAUGGUGAAUUAUAAUUUGGAAAUCUUGUCUGUGUCUAUAGAAAAGAAAUCCUGUAUAAACUGGUAUUAGGUCAAUUAGUUUGUAAGUAGAAUUAAACUUUCUAUGCAAAACCCUCAUCCCACUUCAACUAAUUGAAUUCGUUUAACAGCGUUGAUAUCAUUUGGGCAUUUCUUUUAAAUGCUCACGAAUAAUUAAUUCACUUUGACUUCAUAAACCAAGGAAUUUCUCACACAACUCUUCCAUUUUUUAUUAUUUCUUUGGAGGGGGCAAGAAAAACAAGUAAUCAUACGGAUUUUUUUAAACUUUAGAACUGUACAUUAUGAACUGUAUCUGCAAUUCACUGUGUUGACUCCUAAUUAUUACAUGGCAAGGUCUAAAAUCAUUCAACUGUAGUAUAUAUUCUUUAUGCGUUGUCUCUGUGGGCUGUGUAUUUUGAAUUCAGAAUAUAUUUGGAUAUUUCCUAUAUCCCAUAGUAAUAGUUGUAUCCGAAGGAAAAAAAACUAGCCAUUUAAUAGACUACUGCAAAGUCCUGAUAUCUACUAAUAGAAUAACUUCUUAGUAGUUAUAAUUUAAUUAAAUUUCCAAACUUCCAGGAAUUUAUUUAUAACAAAAACCUUGGUAAUUUUAGAUAUUUGCAUUUUACACAUGGAAAAAAAUUAGACUAAUGAAUCUUAAGUUAUUUGCUCAAGAACAUCUAGAAAACUAAGGAAAAGGAACAGAAUUCAAAUUUUAUCUUUCUGCAAAAACUGUGUUUUCUCUAAUCUGACCCUACCUGUUUACCAUGGGUUAUGUAGUGACUUAAGAAACUAAUGCCAGGCUUUGCAUUAUGCGAUGGAGCUUCAGAAAAUUUAAGAACACUACUAGCCUGAAGAUGGAGGGGGAAGGUGGAUGGGAGAAAGAAAAAUAGUGAGAUCUGGAAACAGAAAGGAAAAAAUGGAAAAGGGGAUUGGAAGGUAAAGAGAACUCACGGUAAACUACCCCAUUCACCAUGUUUUUAUGGGCAAAUUCAGCUCAUGUUUGAAUAAAAACUAUCCUUAUGGAUAAAGUGUUGGUU